rnacentral:rRNA from 1 species
GACGAGCGCUGGCGGCGUGCUUAACACAUGCAAGUCGAACGGAAAGGCCCUGCUUUUGUGGGGUGCUCGAGUGGCGAAAGCGUGAGUAACACGUGAGUAACCUCCCCUUGUAUUUGUGAUAACUUCAGGAAACCGCGUCUAAUACCGGCUAGGAGCUCUUGCCGCAUGGUGGGGGUUAGAAAGUUUCGGUGGUUGGGGAUGGACUCGCGGCUUAUCAGCUAGUUGGUGAGGUAGUGGCUUACCAAGGGUUUGACGGAUAGCCGGCCUGAGAGGGGGAACGGCCACAUUGGUACUGAGGGACGGCCCAGAAGCGUACGGGAGGCAGCAGUCGAGAGCAUUGCGGAAUGAGCCGAAGCCUGAUGCGGCAACCCCGCGUGCGGGAUAACGGCCUUCGGGGUGUGAACAGCUUUGGACUGUGACGAAGCGAGAUUGACGGUAAUGGGUCAAGAAGCCACGGCUAACUACGUG